AAUGUAAACUACAAACUCUAUAAGCCCUCUUCCUCAGCUCGCUCAUAUUUUUGGCAGCGCAUCACUUCAGAUCUCACUCCAUUUCCUAAUGGCAUCGAAGUGCAGCAGCAGAAUUAUGAAUAGGGCUACAAUUUCAUCCCUCAAAUCCUCCUUCAAUAAAUCAGCUUCCUCUUCUUCUUCUCUGGUUAACAGAUCCAUUCCGACGUCGUUUCCAAAAUCCACUAACGCCACCACGUCAUUCCUCCGCCGUUUCUCCCUCGCCAGGGCUCCGUCGGAAUUGGGAGCGGUGCAGUCGAUGCUACCGCUGCACAGCGCGGUUGCGACGGCGAGGAUGACGUCGUGCCUGAGUUCAACAUCCAGGAGUUGCAGGGCUCUUUCACAGGGUACACUCUGCUGCACUUCUCCAGAGCUCUAGUAUUCUCUUCCCUUGCACAUGAGUUUCCAAAAGCUUGAAAGAAUUAUACUGCCAUUUUACAAGAGCUGGGUCAGUCAGUUCCAAGGUGACUUCAAUAGGUGAACAUGAAGUGCUAUGCCUUCUUGUGAAUGGAUUACCAGGGUAUUUGCAUAUAUUCUAUGCAAACAUUUAGUUGAUCAUAAAGUAAAGUUGCACUUUGCAAAGCAGCAAAUUCAGCUAUUAUUGUACCCCACACGAGAUAUGUUGAUCCAUUAAAUGUUUGGCACAGCCUUUGAGUUUUGGUUGGAUUACUGGACUAGGAUUUAAAUUGGAUUGUGACGUGGUUGUUUUUUCAUAUCUCAACUAUGGCAAUACAUCAAUGCCUGAAGGUAUCAUUCCAUUUCUCAAAUUGCCAAGAAAUAGAGAUGUAUCAAUUGAUAUUGUAAAUCUUUACGCUUUUUAUGUGUUUCUUGGUUCGUUUAUAGUACAAAGUUUCCAAUGUUUCAUA